rnacentral:rRNA from 1 species
UACGGAGGGUGCAAGCGUUAUCCGGAUUUACUGGGUUUAAAGGGUGCGUAGGUGGCGCUGUAAGUCGGGUGUGAAAUUUCGGAGCUUAACUCCGAAACUGCAUUCGAUACUGCGGUGCUCGAGGACUGGAGAGGAGACUGGAAUUCAUGGUGUAGCAGUGAAAUGCGUAGAUAUCGAGAGGAACACCUGCGGCGAAGGCGGGUUGCUGGGCUGACACUGACGCUGAGGCGCGAAAGCUAGGGGAGCGAACGGG